rnacentral:rRNA from 1 species
GGGAGGUAGUGACAAGAAAUAACAAUACGGGGCUUGAAGUCUUGUAAUUGGAAUGAUGGGAAUUUAAACCCCUUCCAGAGUAUCAAUUGGAGGGCAAGUCUGGUGCCAGCAGCCGCGGUAAUUCCAGCUCCAAUAGCGUAUAUUAAACUUGUUGCAGUUAAAAAGCUCGUAGUUGAAUUUCUGCUGCAUCGUGGUUCUUCGCUAUGUCGAGUGAUCUUCGUUGUGGCUUAGUUGGGGCAUGUUUUCAUGACUCGACGUUUACUUUGAGAAAAUUAGAGUGCUUCAAGCAGGCUUUUGCCUUGAAUACUUUAGCAUGGAAUAAUGGAGUAGGACUUUGGUUCUAUUUUGUUGGUUUUAGGAGCCGGAGUAAUGGUUAAUAGGAACAGUUG